rnacentral:rRNA from 1 species
UCUGGCGGCGUCUUACACUGCAUGUCGAACGAGACAUGGAGCUUCGGCUCUGAGUAAGUGGCGAACGGGUCGACACGUAAGCAAUCUGCCCCGGACUCUGGGAUAACUUCUCGAAAGGGAAGCUAAGACUGGAUAGUGUCCUCGAGGCAUAAGCUGCGAGGGGAAAAUAGGCCUCUUAUAUAUGCCUGUGGUCCGGGAUGAGCUUGCGGCCCAUUAGCUAGUUUGUAAGGUAACGGCUUACCAAGGCAACGAUGGGUAGCUGGUCUGAGAGGAUGAUCAGCCACACUGGCACUGAGAUACGGGCCAGACUCCUACGGGAGGCAGCAGUGGGGAAUUUUGCGCAAUGGGCGAAAGCCUGACGCAGUAACGCCGCGUGGAGGACGAAGGCCUUCGGGUUGUAAACUCCUGUCAGGGGGAACGACAGAGACAGAACGAAUAGUUCUGUCCUCUAGACGGUACCUCCAAAGGAAGCCCCGGCUAAUUCCGUGCCAGCAGCCGCGGUAAUACGGAAGGGGCAAGCGUUGUUCGGAAUCAUUGGGCGUAAAGGGCGCGUAGGCGGUCUUGUAUGUCUGCUGUGAAAGCAUGCGGCUCAACCGCAUAGGGUCGGUAGACACUGCAAGACUCGAGGCUGGGAGGGGCUGGUGGAAUUCCCUGUGU